CUCUUCCAUCUUUGUUCUGCUUCCCUAUCUCUGUUCUUCACCAGCGGUUUCGUGGUGUUCUUUUAGCAAUAUGGAUAAUUUUAUCAACAUCAAUGAAACCAAAGAAGAAACAUAAACACAUCGAUCGCAUCAUCAGCUUUGUUAUUCAAGAAUUGGAAGCCGGAGUAAUCUGCAGAUGGGUUUAGGAUUCAGAUCGAGAGAAAAAAUGAGAAGCGUGAUUGUCUUGGGUUCAAGUUGUUUGAAUUAGAAAUUGGAGAGAAUAAGUGAUUUAAGAUGGUGGUUGAGCUUGUAGAAGACAUAAGCUAGAGUUUAAUCUGCAAAAGUUUAAUCUACAAAAUCCCUUCAGUUUUUCAUCUCCAUCUUAGUUCUUCUGAUUAACUGAUUCUUUUUUCUCUUUUCCCGUCCUCAAGAAAUCACCAGCUAAGACAAAGGGAGAUGAUGAUUGAGUUAUAGGGAUUUUGUACACUGAUCAAAGGGAAACCUUGGGUUUGUAUGAGUUGUUUUACAUGGAUAUGGUGUGAUGCUUGUCUGUUGCAGCUAAAGAAUUGGUGGUAUGGUUGUGUCAUAGGGAGAGUUGGACUGGGUAAAAUGGAAUUGAGAGGAGUAGACAUGACAGUGUGGGUUCUUGGCGGUGAUGUCGUGGGUUAGGUUCUGCUGAGGAAGUUGAUUGCAACUGAGUUGAAGUCAUGUAACAUACGUAUGAGCUGAAUAAAUGGAAUGGUAGUGUAUCGCUAAGAUUGAGAUGAUGUGCUUGUUCCAUAUUAGCAUUACAGGGAAGAAUAUUGCAGGGAACACAGAAUGGAUGUUGGAUCUGGUGGUUAAAGUUGUCAGAAGCUUGAAUCUAUGUUGGUGUUGCAGGUAGUUGUAAAGCUUAAAUAUAUUCGAGAAUACUUGAACCGGUAUUGUUUUGCUACUCCCAAUGCUAAAUGAAAAUGCUUAUGGAAAAGUUCGGGAAUUAUUUUGUGAACUGCAUCACAGUGGAUGAUGGAAUUGGGGUGUUGAAACUGUUGGCUUAAUCGACGGUCAUGGUGGGGUUCGUCCCUUGAUUGGAAUUUGUCAAACAGGUGAAUCUAUUCCGCAAUCUACAACUGUAGGUACUUUGAAGAAUUUGUUUGUAGUACCGGAAGUACGACAAACUUCAGCAAAUGAGGAGAUUGUUAAGGUUAUGAUUGAUCUUAUGGACUGUUGGAUGUUGUUAGGAUCCAAAGAGUAUGCAGCUGAAUGUCUUCAAGCUGCGGCAUCAACAAAUUGUAAGAUUUGUAGCUCACUUGAGAUGAAAAAAAUGUUGGAUGAUGCUGGUUGUAUUCCUUCGCUUGUGCAAAUGCUUGAAGAGAAAUUGGUGGUUUGAGAUGGUUUUAAGGUUGUGCUAUUGCAGAUCAGUGUUGUGCCGUGUAACUGAAAUUGGUGAUGUUGUUGAAAUAUUUUGAGUAGAGUUGAGCUUCAGAGGAUAUACCUAAUUGUUGCAGUAAAGCCUUGAUGGCCUGAGUAUACAGUGCCAUAUAUGCAGUAUUUGAUGACGGGUACAGAGUCAAAUCGUCGAGUCAGUUAUCAAUGGACGAUUCCAAGUACAAUUAGGUCUUUUUAGGUUCACUUAACGGGGCUUACUUUCCAUCUAUCUUUUUUAGUCAAAACUUUCCUAGUUUUUUAAAUUAUAAAAAAAACAGGCCUAGUUUUGUAAACUAUAAAAAUGACAGGCCUAUUUCUGUAAAAAGCCCAAAAAACUAAAAAGAAAAAACCAUAUAUGCUGAACAUUUUCUAGGACAUGUCAGUGUUAGACAUAUUUACUUUAACUGUCAAUUUGAAGCAUGGGAUGAUGGGAAACAAAUCGUCCUAGAUGAAAAAGAGAGAAAUAUGACAUGAAGUUGUUACAAGGUUUAGAGAUAAUAUAUUCUCUACCA